AACGAACGCUGGCGGCAGGCCUAACACAUGCAAGUCGAGCGGACCCUUCGGGGUUAGCGGCGGACGGGUGAGUAACGCGUGGGAAUAUGCCCUUCUCUACGGAAUAGUCCUGGGAAACUGGGGGUAAUACCGUAUACGCCCUUUGGGGGAAAGAUUUAUCGGGGAAGGAUUAGCCCGCGUUGGAUUAGGUAGUUGGUGGGGUAAUGGCCUACCAAGCCGACGAUCCAUAGCUGGUUUGAGAGGAUGAUCAGCCACACUGGGACUGAGACACGGCCCAGACUCCUACGGGAUGCAGCAGUGGGGAAUCUUAGCAAAUGGGGGCAACCCUGAUCGAGCCAUGCCGCGUGAGUGAUGAAGGCCUUAGGGUUGUAAAGCUCUUUAAGCUGGGAAGAUAAUGACGGUACCAGCAGAAGAAGCCCCGGCUAACUCCGUG
rnacentral:rRNA from 1 species